AAUCAUGGCUCAGGAUGAACGCUAGCUACAGGCUUAACACAUGCAAGUCGAGGGGGCAGCAUGUAUCUGGCUUGCCAGAUAUGAUGGCGACCGGCGCACGGGUGAGUAACGCGUAUCCGACCUGCCGCACACUCCGGGAUAGCCUUGCGAAAGCAAGUUUAAUACCGGAUGCCGUAAUGGCGCCGCAUGGUGUUUUUACGAAAGGGAUUUACCGGUGUGCGAUGGGGAUGCGU
rnacentral:rRNA from 1 species